CAGGCUGGUCCGGGCGGGCGGGCGAGGCACAGGGCUCUCCCACACGUCGCGCAGCCGCCAACGGCAAGUUGGAGGGCGAGAUGCAAAUACCAGGUGGGCAGACUCUCUUCAGGAGAGUCCAGAUCCUGGAGAAACACAGUUCUCUGCUGUCCUCUUGCCUGUGAGGUUCUCCUCGCUAGUUUCAGCUCUUGGGAGAAGAAUGUAACAGGGUCAAGGCAGAAGCUGCUGAGGACUAAUGGUGGAUCCCUUCUGCAAGUAUAUGUGGUUCCAAACAAGGUUGAAGCUUCAAGGCAGAGGGUGAGGUCAAGAGCAUCAUCCCGAUUGCAGAGGCUCUGAAAUUGCAAUUCCUUCUCUUCCGAGUGCUCUGCAGGCCUCGGAGCCGGCCCUAGGGACUAGAAAAAGCUCGCGCUUUUCUUCGUCUGCGGUAGGAGCACGGUCGGGUGCCUCUCCUCCUACGUGGAAAGGAGCAAGAUGGACUGGCCAGCGCGAGGGACAACUGGGGCUCUAGCUGCCACUCGUGCCUUUCCUUGACACCCGCUUUCUAGCCUCCAGAGCCUCCCCAACCCGAGAUCGCCCAGUCGGCCGCAAAGCGCGCCCACUCGCCUCCACUACUCUCCGAGCGCCUCUGCAGCGCCACCUACAGGCGGAAUGCGAGCAGCGACUCUGGCCACAGUGGCGGCGGGAACUGGCCACCCCGGGAGGAGGGGGAAAAGGAGGAGGAAGAGGAGGAGGAGAGGUCGGUUUCUCUGCUUCCUCCACUCCCAGCUUGCCUGGCCAGCGAAUGGCCUCUCUAUAACGUCCCGGUUCCAAGUGGCCUGGCCAAUCUAGCCCUAACCCCGAGCCCUGGCAGCCGGGAC